GGGUUGUGAGGUUAAGCGAAUAAGCGUACACGGUGGAUGCCUAGGCAAUCAGAGGCGAUGAAGGACGUGCUAAUCUGCGAAAAGCGUCGGUAAGGUGAUAUGAACCGUUAUACCCGACGAUAUCCGAAUGGGGAAACCCAGUAUCCAAUGGAUACUAUCAUUAACUGAAUCCAUAGGUUAAUGAGGCGAACCGGGAGAACUGAAACAUCUCAGUACCCCGAGGAAAAGAAAUCAACCGAGAUUCCCCUAGUAGCGGCGAGCGAACGGGGAGCAGCCCAGAGUCUUAAUCAAUAGCAGUGUCAGGAGAACGGUCUGGAAAGUCCGGCAGUAAAGGGUGAUAGCCCCGUAUCUGAAGAUGCUGUUAUUGUGAACUCGACGAGUAGGGCGGGACACGUGUUAUCCUGUCUGAAUAUGGGGGGACCAUCCUCCAAGGCUAAAUACUCCUGAUUGACCGAUAGUGAACCAGUACCGUGAGGGAAAGGCGAAAAGAACCCCGGCGAGGGGAGUGAAAAAGAACCUGAAACCGUGUACGUACAAGCAGUAGGAGCCUCUUUAUGGGGUGACUGCGUACCUUUUGUAUAAUGGGUCAGCGACUUAUAUUCUGUAGCAAGGUUAACCGCAUAGGGGAGCCGUAGGGAAACCGAGUCUUAACUGGGCGAAUGAGUUGCAGGGUAUAGACCCGAAACCCGGUGAUCUAUCCAUGGGCAGGUUGAAGGUUGGGUAACACUAACUGGAGGACCGAACCGACUAAUGUUGAAAAAUUAGCGGAUGACUUGUGGAUGGGGGUGAAAGGCCAAUCAAACCGGGAGAUAGCUGGUUCUCCCCGAAAGCUAUUUAGGUAGCGCCUCGUGAACUCAUCUUCGGGGGUAGAGCACUGUUUCGACUAGGGGGUCAUCCCGACUUACCAACUCGAUGCAAACUGCGAAUACCGAAGAAUGUUAUCACGGGAGACACACGGCGGGUGCUAACGUCCGUCGUGAAGAGGGAAACAACCCAGACCGCCAGCUAAGGUCCCAAAGUCAUGGUUAAGUGGGAAACGAAGUGGGAAGGCUCAGACAGCCAGGAUGUUGGCUUAGAAGCAGCCAUCAUUUAAAGAAAGCGUAAUAGCUCACUGGUCGAGUCGGCCCGCGCGGAAGAUGUAACGGGGCUAAACCAUGCACCGAAGCUGCGGCAGCGACACAAAGUGUUGUUGGGUAGGGGAGCGUUCUGUAAGCCUGCGAAGGUGUACUGUGAGGUAUGCUGGAGGUAUCAGAAGUGCGAAUGCUGACAUAAGUAACGAUAAUGCGGGUGAAAAACCCGCACGCCGGAAGACCAAGGGUUCCUGUCCAACGUUAAUCGGGGCAGGGUGAGUCGACCCCUAAGGCGAGGCUGAAAAGCGUAGUCGAUGGGAAACGGGUUAAUAUUCCCGUACUGGUGGUAACUGCGAUGGGGGAACGGAGAAGGCUAGGUUGUCCGGGCGACGGUCGUCCCGGUUCAAGCAGGUAGGCAGAGUGAUUAGGCAAAUCCGGUCACUUAAUGCUGAGAUGUGAUGACGAACCACCAAGGUGGUGAAGCAAUUGAUGCCCCGCUUCCAGGAAAAGCCUCUAAGCUUCAGGUUACCAACAAUCGUACCCCAAACCGACACAGGUGGUCAGGUAGAGAAUACUCAGGCGCUUGAGAGAACUCGGGUGAAGGAACUAGGCAAAAUGGUGCCGUAACUUCGGGAGAAGGCACGCUGGCGGUAGGUAAAGUCCCUCGCGGACGGCGCUGAAGCCAGUCGAAGAUACCAGCUGGCUGCAACUGUUUAUUAAAAACACAGCACUGUGCAAACACGAAAGUGGACGUAUACGGUGUGACGCCUGCCCGGUGCUGGAAGGUUAAUUGAUGGGGUCAGCCGUAAGGCGAAGCUCCUGAUCGAAGCCCCAGUAAACGGCGGCCGUAACUAUAACGGUCCUAAGGUAGCGAAAUUCCUUGUCGGGUAAGUUCCGACCUGCACGAAUGGCGUAAUGAUGGCCAGGCUGUCUCCACCCGAGACUCAGUGAAAUUGAACUCGCUGUGAAGAUGCAGUGUACCCGCGGCAAGACGGAAAGACCCCGUGAACCUUUACUAUAGCUUGACACUGAACAUUGAGCCUUGAUGUGUAGGAUAGGUGGGAGGCUUUGAAGUGUGGACGCCAGUCUGCAUGGAGCCAACCUUGAAAUACCACCCUUUAACGUUUGAUGUUCUAACCUAGGCCCAUAAACUGGGUCGGGGACCGUGUCUGGUGGGUAGUUUGACUGGGGCGGUCUCCUCCUAAAGAGUAACGGAGGAGCACGAAGGUUGGCUAAGCAUGGUCGGACAUCAUGCGGUUAGUGCAAAGGCAUAAGCCAGCUUGACUGCGAGAGUGACGGCUCGAGCAGGUACGAAAGUAGGUCUUAGUGAUCCGGUGGUUCUGAAUGGAAGGGCCAUCGCUCAACGGAUAAAAGGUACUCCGGGGAUAACAGGCUGAUACCGCCCAAGAGUUCAUAUCGACGGCGGUGUUUGGCACCUCGAUGUCGGCUCAUCACAUCCUGGGGCUGAAGUAGGUCCCAAGGGUAUGGCUGUUCGCCAUUUAAAGUGGUACGCGAGCUGGGUUUAGAACGUCGUGAGACAGUUCGGUCCCUAUCUGCCGUGGGCGUUGGAAGAUUGAGAGGGGUUGCUCCUAGUACGAGAGGACCGGAGUGAACGCACCACUGGUGUUCGGGUUGUCAUGCCAAUGGCAUUGCCCGGUAGCUAAGUGCGGAAGAGAUAACCGCUGAAAGCAUCUAAGCGGGAAACUUGCCUCGAGAUGAGUCUUCCCUGUCACUUUAAGUGACCUAAAGGAACGUUUAAGACUAAGACGUUGAUAGGCUGGGUGUGUAAGCGUAGCGAUACGUUGAGCUAACCAGUACUAAUGAACCGUGAGGCUUAACCUGACAACACCGAAAGUGUUUUG
rnacentral:rRNA from 1 species